rnacentral:misc_RNA from 1 species
GAUGAAGAACGUAGUGAAAUGCGAUAAGUAAUGUGAAUUGCAGAAUUCAGUGAACCAUCGAAUCUUUGAACGCACAUUGCGCCCGGCAGUAAUCUGCCGGGCAUGCCUGUCCGAGCGUCAUUUCUACCCUCGAGCGAGUCCAGCAUCUAGGUGCUGGGCCUCGCCCGGCGUUGGAGCACUACGGGAAGCCCUGUGCUGUCCCCCGUAGGCCCCGAAAUGAAGUGGCGGUCCUGCCGCGGCGCCCCCUGCGUAGUAUAACAGCUCGCUUCGGGACCCGGUGGGGGCCUGCCGUCAAACCUAUACUCUCUAAGUUUGACCUCGGAUCAGGUAGGGUUACCCGCUGAACUUAAGCAUAUCAAUAAGCGGAGGA